rnacentral:rRNA from 1 species
AUUGAACGCUGGCGGCAGGCCUAACACAUGCAAGUCGAGCGGAUGAAGGGAGCUUGCUCCUGGAUUCAGCGGCGGACGGGUGAGUAAUGCCUAGGAAUCUGCCUGGUAGUGGGGGAUAACGUCCGGGAACGGGCGCUAAUACCGCAUACGUCCUGAGGGAGAAAGUGGGGGAUCUUCGGACCUCACGCUAUCAGAUGAGCCUAGGUCGGAUUAGCUAGUUGGUGGGGUAAAGGCCUACCAAGGCGACGAUCCGUAACUGGUCUGAGAGGAUGAUCAGUCACACUGGAACUGAGACACGGUCCAGACUCCUACGGGAGGCAGCAGUGGGGAAUAUUGGACAAAGGGCGAAAGCCUGAUCCAGCCAUGCCGCGUGUGUGAAGAAGGUCUUCGGAUUGUAAAGCACUUUAAGUUGGGAGGAAGGGCAGUAAGUUAAUACCUUGCUGUUUUGACGUUACCAACAGAAUAAGCACCGGCUAACUUCGUG